rnacentral:misc_RNA from 1 species
UUCUAAAUUGAGAACAGAAGGCAAGUAUCUUGGAAGUUGAUGGUAAGUAGAUUGAUAUUACAUUGCCCGAUAACAAUAUCAUUGUACACUUGAAAUUAGUUUACUUUAUUACAAGGCUUCUUCGCCUGAAAGUGCAUCUUUCAAAAUAACUUAGAAAAUAUUACAGAUCCAGCUAAACAUUGUCAGUAAAUCUAGAAAUACUAAUAAUGCAAUCACAAUUACAAAGUUCUAGGAGGCUUUCAGCAUAGAAGUUGAACUGCCCCAGCAAUGAAACUAGGAAGGAUAACUUGCCUAUGGCAUCUGUCACCGUGUUGAAUGCAUGUCUAUUGGUUCAACAAUUCGAGAUCUCCGUCUCCUCUUACCCUCAGGAGUGCACCUCACACCGCUGACAUUCCCAAGCUUCACAGAAAACUUGCAGUUUACUUGUGAUGGCAGCACUGUUGAUUCACCUUGUGAAGAUGAAUUGACACGUGAGGAUGUCAGUCUGCCAAACUUGUCUCCUGAACCCUUGCCACUUCCUUUGGUUAUCGGUGAUUUAACUCUCUUUUUUGACAAUCGAAAUUGAUUCUGCUCCCGUCUCUUGUCAUGGCUAAGAAGCCGGAUAUGGAAUGGAUUGGCAGCUGUAUAACAGAUGGAAUUACCACUUGCUCCACUUCUCUGCAAAUCAAUGUCUCCAUUGUUCACCUGAAAAUCAGAAAAUUAAUCGACAUAGUACUCUUCAUAAUGCAAAUAUGUAUCCAUUUCACAGUGAACGACUUCACCAAUUGAAUCACUUUAAUCAUAGUGCUCAAAUUUUAGAUUGUAAUAGACAAAGUUGAUGAUGUUACACAACAAAAUUUUACCACGUUCUAGAAGCAGAGUUAAGGACCAUUCCCUGGUGCACUUUAGUGCAAACUUAAGCACUGAGAGUAGAUACUUCAAGCAAAAUUGCUGAAGACAAUCGCCUCUCUUAAAACCUUUUCUACUUUAAGCUAAACCAACCACGCAGGGCAGGGACUAAAAUGUAACAAAGGAUUUACCAGCUGAAGAAGUGCAGAGAAUGUUCGAGCCACAUCAUGCUUUUCUUGCCCUUCCACAACAUCAACAAAGGACAUGACAUUAUCACUGUCUGCUUCAAGAGAUAAUUUGUCAAGAAUUCUUUCACCGUAGGCAUGAAUAUCAAAUGAAGGGCGUGCAUCCUGUUCUUCCAAGUUGCGCUCAAUUUUCUGUUUCCACAAUGAAACUCGAGUAGCCAAUUCAGUCUGUUUCUCAGUUUCAGCUAUGUUAGCAAGAAGAGCAUCCUGCAUGACAAAAGGUCAGUGAUCUUCCACUAUCCCAUAAUAACCAAGCAAAAUAAGAGCAGUAUGAAUGGACUUUGGGAAGGUAAUUAAAGUAAUAGAUUAGA